rnacentral:rRNA from 1 species
CUUUCCCUCUGGCGGCAGGCCUAACACAUGCAAGUCGAACGGUAACAGGAAGCAGCUUGCUGCUUUGCUGACGAGUGGCGGACGGGUGAGUAAUGUCUGGGAAACUGCCCGAUGGAGGGGGAUAACUACUGGAAACGGUAGCUAAUACCGCAUAACGUCGCAAGACCAAAGAGGGGGACCUUAGGGCCUCUUGCCAUCGGAUGUGCCCAGAUGGGAUUAGCUAGUAGGUGGGGUAACGGCUCACCUAGGCGACGAUCCCUAGCUGGUCUGAGAGGAUGACCAGCCACACUGGAACUGAGACACGGUCCAGACUCCUACGGGAGGCAGCAGUGGGGAAUAUUGCACAAUGGGCGCAAGCCUGAUGCAGCCAUGCCGCGUGUAUGAAGAAGGCCUUCGGGUUGUAAAGUACUUUCAGCGGGGAGGAAGGGAGUAAAGUUAAUACCUUUGCUCAUUGACGUUACCCGCAGAAGAAGCACCGGCUAAGUCCGUG